rnacentral:rRNA from 1 species
UACUGACUCAGCAGGCAGGACCUAACAUCAUCGUCGAAUCACACGUCGCGUAUAGAGCAUGUAGAGCUCCGCGUGUCUCAAUUCAGCGGCGGACGGGUGAGUAAUGCCUAGGAAUCUGCCUGGUAGUGGGGGACAACGUUUCGAAAGGAACGCUAAUACCGCAUACGUCCUACGGGAGAAAGCAGGGGACCUUCGGGCCUUGCGCUAUCAGAUGAGCCUAGGUCGGAUUAGCUAGUUGGUGGGGUAAUGGCUCACCAAGGCGACGAUCCGUAACUGGUCUGAGAGGAUGAUCAGUCACACUGGAACUGAGACACGGUCCAGACUCCUACGGGAGGCAGCAGUGGGGAAUAUUGGACAAUGGGCGAAAAGCCUGAUCCAGCCAUGCCGCGUGUGUGAAGAA